UCCUGGAUAGCUCAGUCGGUAGAGCAUGAGACUCUAGGGGACGUGGGUUUGAGUCUCACGUUGGUCAAA